GGCGCGUUCGUCCAGGGGUGAGGACGCCGGAUUCUCAAUCCGGAAACACGGGUUCGAUUCCCGUACGCGCUG
rnacentral:tRNA from 1 species